rnacentral:tRNA from 1 species
GUAGGUUGUGGCUGAGUGGUAGGGCACCUGCCUAGCAUGUGUGAGGCACUGGGUUCGAUUUUCAGCACUACA